CCUACGGGAGGCUGCAGUGAGGAAUAUUGGUCAAUGGUCGGGAGACUGAACCAGCCAAGCCGCGUGAGGGAUGAAGGUACAGAGUAUCGUAAACCUCUUUUGUCAGGGAACAAAGGCUGGGACUUGUCCCCGGAUGAGUGUACCUGAAGAAAAAGCAUCGGCUAACUCCGUGCCAGCAGCCGCGGUAAUACGGGGGAUGCGAGGGUUAUCCGGAUUUAUUGGGUUAAGGGGGUGGGCGGGCGGUCUGUUAAGUCAGCGGUCAAAGCCCGGGGCCAACCCCCGGCCCGCCGUUGAAACUGGCAGUCUCGAGUUGGAGAGAAGUAUGCGGAAUGCGAGGUGUAGCGGUGAAAUGCAUAGAUAUCGCGCAGAACUCCGAUUGCGAAGGCAGCAUGCCGGCUCCACACUGACGCUGAGGCACGAAAGCGUGGGUAUCGAACAGGAUUAGAUACCCCUGAAGCC
rnacentral:rRNA from 1 species